UCCUCUUGGUAAUGGGUCGGGUCACGCGCAAGUCGCGCAAAACGGCGCUGUUUUGGCACUGAGACCCCCAGGUGAAACGACGUCGUUUUUCAUUUGAUAUAAAUGUUAAAAAAAGCCCUAAAAAAACAGAUUCAUCCUUUUUUUAAAAAAAUUCAGAGAGCUUUGGAGCUCUCUCUCAAAUCCCCAAAUCCGGCCAUGGUUGCCGGCCGUGGCCGUGGCCGCCACCGUAUGCGGUGGCCGGCGUCGUGAAAUGGCCUUUCGCCUCACCACAUGGUGUCCUUGAGAGCCAAGCUCUCUCAACCCGUAAAAAUAAGAAAAAUAAAACUUUCCAGCCCCCUUUAGGCCCGAGCCAAACGACGGAGGAGAAGCCUCCAACGGCGAGGCCACGACUGUCUGGUGGCUGAUGGGCACAAGUGGGGCGAUGGGACGUCCGGUGGUGACAGGUACGGGUGACGGCUAAGUGCGGCGCCAGAAGACCAAGGGUCUAAAGACCCUAGAUGCGGCGCUUAGGGUUUCAGAAAGGCUGACUUUAGUUUUGGGUCAAAUUGAGUUGGGUUCAUUUGGGCUAGUGCGUUAGGUCUGUAAUUGGGCUAGGGUCUGUGUUUUGGGUACUGGGCUCGGGUUUAGACUUGGCCAAGUCUAGUUUAGUUUGGGUCUGUUAGGGUUUUGGGCCAUUUUUUGGGCCUUGGGCAAAUUUGGGCUUAUACAUAGUUUACUUAAUUUAAUCAAUUGAAUCAUUCUAUUCAUAUAUUUUAUACAUAAUAAUAGUUGUUGGUUUGAGUUUAAAUAGCAAGACUUUUUGACCUCCACUUGAGAAAUAAAAAUUCUAUGUUUUAUCUUC